rnacentral:rRNA from 1 species
GCGUGAGUGAUGAAGGCCCUAGGGUUGUAAAGCUCUUUCGGCGGGGAAGAUGAUGACGGUACCCGCAGAAGAAGCCCCGGCUAACUUCGUGCCAGCAGCCGCGGUAAUACGAAGGGGGCUAGCGUUGUCCGGAAUUACUGGGCGUAAAGCGCGCGUAGGCGGCCUAGCAAGUCAGGUGUGAAAGCCCGGGGCUCAACCCCGGAACUGCGCCUGAUACUGCUAAGCUCGAGACCGGAAGAGGAGAGCGGAAUUCCCAGUGUAGAGGUGAAAUUCGU